CUGAAGGAACAGUCCCAGGAUUCAAAGGUCUUGUAGAUAAUCCACUUGGUCCAGGUUCUUCGGUAUCAACCGUAUUGGAUUCAGCAGAGUCCAAUUCCUUAUCUACAACAGGUUUUGUCAAAUGUUCUGGAGCAGCUAAUUCAAGAUGAGCAGAUAAAUUUGUACUUUCAAACUCUGAUCCUGUGUCAGUAUCUGAAUUGUCUGGUACUAUUCUUUCAGUAUCCUUUCGAUUUCUACAGCACGAUAAAUCAGGUUGCAACUCACCAAGUGUCAAUGCUGCAUAGAAGUUGUUAACAUUUUUGGGAUGUUUUUUGCAUAAUUUUUUCUUGAAAUUCACAACCUUUAAUCCAUCAACAGAAACGGCACGUCCAACUGCAACUCCUAAUUGUCCUGGUUGAAAGCAAGAUUGACAAUAAACAAUGACAUUUUUUAAAUUCAUACCCUGUGACUUAUGUAUUGUGAAGGCAUAGGCUACCUUAAUAGGAAGCUGUACUCGUUUAGCAAGCACAAUCUUGUCAACAGGAUCAUAGGUGGUGAAUGUUACAG